GACGAACGCUGGCGGCGUGCUUAACACAUGCAAGUCGAACGGAAAGGCCCUGCUUUUGUGGGGUGCUCGAGUGGCGAACGGGUGAGUAACACGUGAGUAACCUGCCCUUGACUUUGGGAUAACUUCAGGAAACUGGGGCUAAUACCGGAUAGGAGCUCCUGCUGCAUGGUGGGGGUUGGAAAGUUUCGGCGGUUGGGGAUGGACUCGCGGCUUAUCAGCUUGUUGGUGGGGUAGUGGCUUACCAAGGCUUUGACGGGUAGCCGGCCUGAGAGGGUGACCGGCCACCAUAGUCCUGCGAGACGGACCAGAAUCCUACGGGCGGCAGCAGUGGGAAAUAUUGCACAACGGGCGGAAGCCUGAUGCGGCGGCGCCGCGUGCGGGAUGACGGCCUUCGGGUUGUGAACCGCUUUCGCCUGUGACGAAGCGUGAGUGACGGUAAUGGGUAAAGAAGCACCGGCUAACUACGUG
rnacentral:rRNA from 1 species